rnacentral:SRP_RNA from 1 species
GCCGGGCGUGGUGGCGGGCGCCUGUAGUCCCAGCUACUCGGAGGCUGAGGCAAGGACAAUGGCGGUGAACCUGGGAUUGCGGAGCUUGCAGUGAGCCGAGAUCGCGCCACUGCACUCCAGCCUGGGUGACACAGCUCGAGACUUCCGUCUCAAAAAAAAAAAAAAAAAAAGAAAUAGAGUCUUGCUUUGUUGUCCAGGCUGGGGUGCAGUGGCGCGAUCUUGGCUCACUGCAGCCUCUGCUUCCCAGUUCUCAGCGAUUCUCCUGCCUC